rnacentral:rRNA from 1 species
GACGAACGCUGGCGGCGUGCUUAACACAUGCAAGUCGAACGAAAAGGCCCUGCUUUUGUGGGUUGCUCGAUUGGCGAACGGGUGAGUAACACGUGAGUAACCCGCCCUUGUCUUUGUGAUAACUUUAGGAAACUGGGGCUCAUACCGCGUAUGAGCUCCUGCUGCAUGUUGGUGGUUGGAAAGUUUCGGCGGUUGGGGAUGGAUUCGCUGCUUAUCAGCUGGUUGGUCGGGUAGUGGCUUACCACGGCUUUGACGGGUAGCCGGCCUGAGAGGGUGAACGGCGACAUUGGGACUGAGAUACGGACCAGACUGCAACGUGAGGCAGCGGUGGAGAAUCUUGCACAAUGGGCGGAAGCCUGAUGCAGCAACGCCGCGUGCGGGAUGACGGCCUUCGGGUUGUAAACCGAUUUCGCCUGUGACGAAGCGUGAGUGACGGUAAUGGGUAAAGAAGCAACGGCUAACUACGUG